UUGCUUUGAGACCCCAGCUGGGGUUGUUGCUGGAAAGGAUACAGCUGGGACCGGGGGUUAAUGAGUUUUUUUCUUUCACUCAUCAAAUUACCUAUUCAAUUCUGUAUUUUUAACCUCUUCAACUACACCAACCCCUCACGUGGAACAGUGGAAGAAUUAUUCUUUAUUUACAAUAACAGCUCAUAGUAACCAGGACCCAUCAUGCUCCAAAAACUGUUUUCCAUGAACAAAAAAUACAGCAUUCAUGUUUGGAAAGUCAUGAGAGGGCAUCUGUGCUUGAGCUUCAAAUGAAAAGAACCAUAUGCUGGAUCUGUCCGAUUCUUGCCAUCUUCAUCUAAGCAGAGGUAUACAGAGUCAUGGUAAAGGCAGAUGAAAGAAUUCUCUCGGGACAGAUGUCCAGCUGCAGUGAGACGGUAAGUGAGUUUCUCCACCAGCCUAUGGCUGUCUGUCCAGAUGGGCUCAGCUUUAUGAGCCUCAGAGACCAUUAACCUGAUAAAAUCUCUCUCUGAACUUUCCCUUAAAGGCUCUCCUUUAAUCUUUGUGCUAAAAGAAGAAGUUGAAGACAUUUACAUGGUCUUUAUUCAACAUGUGGAAAACCCCUGGCUCCCACGUGUCUUAUCCCAUCCUGGACGUACAAAAAACUGGAUGCGCUGAAGCUCAGGGUGCCUGUAUGUCUGGAAGCCAUUAUCCUUCUGGCCAUAAAGACAUAGAAAAUGAGAAAAAUACAAUUGAACGUGUCACAUUAUAGGCUGUGAAUGAUAUGAAAGAGCCUCCAGCAUCUGCUUUGUGAAAGAGAUCGUCUUCUUACAGCAUCCAGUGAUUCACUGUGACGCCUCAUGUGACUUGGAUGUCCAGCAGCUGAAACACAUCUACAACUUCUCCCUGUUAAUUUAAUAUGGGG
rnacentral:lncRNA from 1 species